rnacentral:rRNA from 1 species
UACAGAGGUCCCGAGCGUUGUUCGGAUUCAUUGGGCGUAAAGGGUGCGUAGGCGGCGGGGCAAGUCUGAUGUGAAAUCCCGGGGCUCAACCCCGGAACUGCAUUGGAUACUGCCUUGCUUGAGUACUGGAGAGGGAACUGGAAUUCACGGUGUAGCAGUGAAAUGCGUAGAGAUCGUAAGGAAGGCCAGUGGCGAAGGCGAGUUCCUGGACAGUUACUGACGCUGAGGCACGAAGGCCAGGGGAGCAAACGGG